GUGUGAAGGGAGGAAGAAUUGAGGGGAGGCUGCUGAGGAUCCUAGGCUGCUCCUCGUGGGAACCCUGUGGUGGGCCAGGUGGCUGAGGGUGGGGACUUUUCAGGAGAGGGUCUACAUGGGCUCUACUUGAGAGCAAGGGCUCAUCCCACCCGCACCCCGAUGUCACAGGGUGUCUUCCCCUAUCUUGGCAAUCUGCUCAGUGACCUGCUGAUGCUGCAACUGGCGAUGGUUGACUAUCUCGAGGGGAAUGAGAUCAACCUUGAGAAGAGGACUGAGGAGCAGCUGUGGCACUCCCUGCAGGGGAGGGGAAAGAGGAAUACCGAGUCAUGAGGAAGAUCCUGCUGCUCCAGGAGGCUGCCAAGAAUUACAACCUAGAACCCGAGGGAGCGAUUUGCGGCCUGGCUCCAGGACAUGCAGUUGCUCAACGAGAAUGAGAGGUCAAAGACCAAGGGAAGAGGUCAUCAAGAGGUCAAGUCUAAUCUACCUAUGGAUGUGGCAGCCUUAACUAUGGAUGUUUAAACCAGACAUUGCCAGCAGAACCACAUCUCUUCACCCAUAGGGAGACUGAGAUCUCAAAAUUAUCAAGAAGCUGAAGCUCCCCAACUCCCGCUUCCUGGCGCCGAAUCCACCAUUCAUCACAGGGACAGACAAACAGAGGACACCUGCAGCUCCCCUAACUCAGCUAAACGCAGGCUGAUGGGAGGACGCCGAACUGCAAAGCCGCAGCUCCCCUCCCCCACCUAAAACCUUGUAAACUGUAAUCGUUAAUUGGCAGCAGUUGCCGUCCACACCCCAAGGCCAAAUUUCUGGUGAUGAGAGAAGAUUGGUUGAUGGAGCCCUA